rnacentral:misc_RNA from 1 species
UUAGUCUAUAAAUACCUAUGUAAUCUAAGUAUUUUCCUAUAGACCAUUAUUAUUCACAAUCAAGAAUUAAUCAAAAUUUAGAGAGUUCUGAUCUUUUCCCUUUGAUUAUUUUAUUGGAUCUACAUCACAAGGACAUAACACUUUCCAGAAACAUGCAUUACUUGAAUUUGUCUCCACAAACAAAGGGGCUAAAUUUCACCCACUGUCCUUCAACUUUGAGUGUUAUUUCAGUAAUAUUCUUCA